GGAUUGUGGCUCAGUGCUAGAGCACUUGCCUACCAUGCAUGAGGCACUGGGUUCAAUCCCCAGCACCA
rnacentral:tRNA from 1 species